rnacentral:rRNA from 1 species
GACGAACGCUGGCGGCGUGCCUAAUACAUGCAAGUAGAACGCACAGUUUAUACCGUAGCUUGCUACACCAUAGACUGUGAGUUGCGAACGGGUGAGUAACGCGUAGGUAACCUGCCUGGUAGCGGGGGAUAACUAUUGGAAACGAUAGCUAAUACCGCAUAAUAUUAAUUAUUGCAUGAUAAUUGAUUGAAAGAUGCAACUGCAUCACUACCAGAUGGACCUGCGUUGUAUUAGCUAGUAGGUGAGGUAACGGCUCACCUAGGCGACGAUACAUAGCCGACCUGAGAGGGUGAUCGGCCACACUGGGACUGAGACACGGCCCAGACUCCUACGGGAGGCAGCAGUAGGGAAUCUUCGGCAAUGGACGAAAGUCUGACCGAGCAACGCCGCGUGAGUGAAGAAGGUUUUCGGAUCGUAAAGCUCUGUUGUAAGAGAAGAACGGGUGUGAGAGUGGAAAGUUCGCACUGUGACGGUAUCUUACCAGAAAGGGACGGCUAACUACGUG